GAUUGCUUGGUGGUUGAAAAGGACAAAGCGAAGACCAGGACGGUGACGUUUCACUAGGAUUUUUCGAGGGAAAGAGAUUUUAAUAGUGGAAACUAGAAAAUUCUCAAGCUUUGAAAGGAAAGCGUAGAAAUGGUACAUGCUCUGGUUCAAACAGCACCACUUCUCCUCCAAUGUUCUCCUCCUCCUCCUCCCCAUGUCUCUAACUGUAGGUGUGCACUGUCAAAUGUCAAUGCUGGAAAAGCAAGAUCCAAAGCGACUACCAAUUGUAUACGGGGAGUGCCUGGUAAAAUAAUGAUGAAGUGCUGUUCAGAGCAAUCUAUCAGCAGCAAGCCUCUGACCAGACAUGUUUUAUCCGGCUUUGCUGCAACGUUAGUAUUUGUCUCUCAAAUAAACCAGGUUAGUAGAUUUAAUCUUUUGUAGUGUUAUAGGAUGCUAGAAUUGAAAAUUUAUGUUCUGACAAAGCGUCGUCCUUCAGGAGAAGCAGAAGAUUUAUUUUCCUAGCUGGUAAAUUUGACUCAUCCAAUUGUAUAAAAACUUUAAAAAGCAUAGGUGUUGGACCAAUCAUUUCUUUGGGUUACAUCUUAUAAGCUCGCAGUAAAAAUUUAGCCCCUUCAGAUCUACAUUUGUUUGAGUUCUUUCCCAUAUUGGGAUUGUCAGAAGAUUUCUGGUAGAGAUGCUUGAGCUUUUAUUAAAACC